UACGUAGGUGGCAAGCGUUGUCCGGAUUUACUGGGCGUAAAGGAUGCGUAGGUGGAUAUUUAAGUGGGAUGUGAAAUACCCGGGCUCAACUUGGGUGCUGCAUUCCAAACUGGAUAUCUAGAGUGCAGGAGAGGAAAGUGGAAUUCCUAGUGUAGCAGUGAAAUGCGUAGAUAUUAGGAGGAACACCAGUGGCGAAGGCGACUUUCUGGACUGUAACUGACACUGAGGCAUGAAAGCGUGGGGAGCAAACAGGG
rnacentral:rRNA from 1 species